AGGUAACAAAAGCCACAGGACGCACUUGCUAACACCAACAACCUUAACUUUUGGCAGAGAGUAAUAAACUGACAAGAGAUGAUAAUACAAAAGUGACUUGGAAAGCCAGGACUGGAAAUGCUUGGACUGGGAGAUCAAAGAAAGGAUUCAAGCAUUUCCAAAACUAGAAUAUGCAUCACCUCUAUGAGAUGAUUCAUAACAUUCAUCACUACUUAUUCGUAGGCAAGGAAUGUCCUGGGAGGGGACGAGGGGUGCGACUCUCCAAACUGAUUAUUCAGAAUUUCAAAUCACAGAAAAGAGAGACUGAGAUGAUUAAAACAUAAUUGAAUUGUACAGACAACAAUGCAUAAACAGUAGAUGUGCACCAACUACAACGCUUUAAGCCUUUAACAUUCUUCUGCCACACUGCACUAACGACCAAAUGCAA
rnacentral:misc_RNA from 1 species